CAGGGCCUGAGUGAUGUCCAGAGGGGACAGACAGCAGAGGAGAGAGAACAGGAGCGCUGGCACUUCCCGAUGCUCCAUAAACCCGGAGGGAAAGAUGCUGAAGCUGAAACUCCAGUACUUUGGCCACCUCAUGCGAAGAGUUGACUCAUUGGAAAAGACUUGAUGCUGGGAGGGAUUGGGCGCAGGAGAAGGGGAUGACAGAGGAUGAGAUGGCUGGAUGGCAUCACUGACUUGAUGGACGUGAGUCUCAGUGAACUCCAGGAGUUGGUGAUGGACAGGGAGGCCUGGUGUGCUGCAAUUCAUGGGGUCGAAAAGAGUCGGACUCAACUGAGCGACUGAACUGAAUUGAACUGAGGGACGUGAAGAAAGAGAAACACCCACGUGCCUCCAGCUGGACAAUGUGACCUAGGAGGGAGCUGCCCCGGAGCUGCUCUGUAAGUGCACAGACGCUGAGCCGGGAGGAAGGGACGGGUGGUGCCAUCGCGAGGUCUCCUGCAGGGGACCGGGUCUAAGCUGCCCCGGAGCUGCUCUGUAAGUGCACAGACGCUGAGCCGGGAGGAAGGGACAGGUGGUGCCAUCGCGGG
ensembl:lncRNA